rnacentral:lncRNA from 1 species
CUGACCUGGCUUCAGAACAAGAUGUGGGGCUCCAGGCACCCGGGAGACCAGUGACCCUGAUUGGCAAUAGCCGCAAGAAAGGGCUUGGAGACAGGGGCCAGGCGCGGUGGCUACCCCUGUAAUCGCAGCACUUUGGGAGGUCAAGGCAGGUGGAUCACUGGAGGGAGGGUGCAGUGAGCAGAGAUCACACCACUGCACUCCAGCCUGGGCAACAGAGUGAGACUCCAUCAAAAAAAAAAAGAAAAGAAAGAAAGGGCUUGGAGACAGGGCCCUAACCCUGGAAUCCAGAUGUUGCCAAAGCAGCCCCCUCCUGUUCCUCUGUCUGCCUGGGAAGAAGCAGGAGUUGGCCACCCACACAGGCAGGGCGGGCCCUUCACCACCCAGCUCCACCCCGGAAUCCAAGGGCCUCUGUUUGCUGCUGUUUUCUGGAACAACUUGUUUUGAUCUAGAGAAAUCUGCUGACACCGGCCUUCCUGCUCUCACCCUCCAGCUGGGCAGAGGUAUUUUUAGACUUAUUUGUAGAGGAAGAGAGCAGAACCCAGGCCCAAUGUGUACCCUCCUUACUGUGGGCACAGCUUUGGCCCCUUAAGGCAGGACAGAGAUAUCCAUGUGGUUGUCUACCCUCAGCUCAUCUCUCCUUAAAUACAUUCCUUUCCCGAGAAAAACGAGCUGUGUGGAACUUGGAGGCCAGCAAAGCUUCUACAUAAGGACCCUCUGAAACAGUGCCCUUUUGUCCUUGAAAACCCAGGGUGGCAAAGGCAGCUCCAGAUACAAGGGCACAAAGGAGACUUGGUUCCCUUUGUGACAGGGAAGCCCGGGGUCCUUUUUCAUCCUCUACCUCAGGGGCCAGAGCUUCCUCAUCACCCUGCACCCCCUAGCAAGGGAGGUGCCCGCUACACGGUCCAAAGUCCUCUCCAGACAUUCGGGCCCUGCCCGCCUUGCUGGAGGGCUCAGGAGUUCACCAGGUUUGCUUCCAGAAGAGCCAGGCUGGGGAUGCCUGCUUGCAAAUGCAGCAAAUAAAAAAUAAAUAAAUAAAUAAAAAUCACCUUUCUCCCCACCCCCACCCAAAUGUAAAAUGAGCCGACAGCCUGUCCCUCGGCUAUGUCAGAUACUGCUUUCCGCACAAUAUCUUGGUUUUACAUUAUUUUGCAACGGCCUCUUCCCACUUAAUCCAUCCUGAACACACUUCUUGAAUGUUCUACCCCGGCAGGGAUGCGCAUUCUCAGGAAACACGUCCCCUCGCCAGGCCCCUGGGAAGAGUCAAAACCACGAUGCCUGCCCCUGAAGCGCCCGCGCGGCUCCACGGGGCUCCAUGUUGUCACCCACUAGCUCCUGGCCUUGAGCGCUGUCCGCGAUCCCAAAAAGCACUGUUAAAGAGAAGCGGGGAUACACUGGGGUCCUUGCGUGGGGGCCGCCUGGGAGACCAUGCACCGCCCGGGAGUCUCUCCGGGCAGGGUCGGGGAGGGACUUUUUUGCCGGUGGCCGUGGAGGAAUCGUCCCGUUGAGCAAUGACCCCGGUGACGCGGCUGAGGGCUAUAAAAGCAAAAGUUGUGGCAAGUCCCCUCCUUGCCUCCACUCCAAUCCAGGGGCUGGGGCCACAUUCUUUGCCUUCAUUUAUCCUCAGAUCAGGUGAGAUCGACAGGAGGUGUUGAUGGCAGUGCCAGCAAUUAUUGCUAAUCCGUUUGCAUCCUUAUGCAUAGAUCUGAAUUCAGACUUUGUGAAUUUCCAGAGGUGUGGGUAAUAUAAUAGAAUUCAGUGAGUGGGCAUGGCUGAUCUUGUGCAAAUUAAAAGUUAUGGGGCAUAAGAAUAGCAAAAGUUGAACUUCUUUUAAAAAGGAAAGUACCCUGAGAGCCAGUAUUGGUUGAGGCUCUUCAGUAUGCCCAGGUUGGCAGCACUGAGAACCGCAGGAACGG